ACUUGAGCUAAAAUACUGGUAAUUUCAGCGAGCGAGUAAACGAUAUUAUCUGACGAAUUCUGCAGCGAUUGUGAUACUUCUGACACAGGCGAAGAGGAAACAAACGCCAUUGAGUCAACGUUUGAAAUAGAUUAUCCAGAUUCACGAGGAAUUAAACGAGGCAUCAGCGAUGCUCGAAGUGUUUGGAACGACUAAAUGUCACGACUGAGAAUGAGCUACUGGCGUAAACAACUUAUAUAAGGUAGGUUAUGCAAAUGCACUCAUUAGCAUUUGCCAAGCUGUCCCUGGGGCCCCCUAUUCUGAUAACAAGUACAACAACUCAG